rnacentral:rRNA from 1 species
UACGAAGGGGGCUAGCGUUGUUCGGAAUUACUGGGCGUAAAGCGCACGUAGGCGGAUUGUUAAGUUAGGGGUGAAAUCCCAGGGCUCAACCCUGGAACUGCCUUUAAUACUGGCAAUCUCGAGUCCGGGAGAGGUGAGUGGAAUUCCGAGUGUAGAGGUGAAAUUCGUAGAUAUUCGGAGGAACACCAGUGGCGAAGGCGGCUCACUGGCUCGGUACUGACGCUGAGGUGCGAAAGCGUGGGGAGCAAACAGG